rnacentral:misc_RNA from 1 species
GCUGACGCCGCUCCUACGAGUGAGUCGAAGGCCCCUGAUCUUCCUCUCUUUACCUGAAUGAGCACGGCUUCCCUCUUCCAGCUUCCCAGCACACACCCCGUUACGCUUGUGAAGACAACAAACCCGAUCGUAAAUCAUGUCUGAGUGCACCGUGUACUCUCCAUGUGGCCGCUACGUGGUACGGUUUGCUUCGGAUGCGGAGCAGCAGCUGCUCCACCUUACCGUCACCGGGAACGCGUCAAGGCCCAUCAAAGGUGACGCGUCGGCCGCCGACGACAGCGGCUGUGUCAAGACGCUCGUUGCCGCAGCUACUGAGCCUCUCACGUCCUCCUCCGCGCACCACCCGCUGCGGCUUGUUGCUUCGCUCACGGAGACGGAUGUGCUUGCACUGACAACGUCCGCUGGAGUCCGCAAAUCCUUCGCAAAAUUUGUGCAGAUGCUUUACGACGCUCUUAUUGGCCGCUCUCCGUGCGUACACUUUUUCGUAGAGACCGUUACGGAGAUGAAGGAGCGCAUUCAGCGGGACGUACAGCGGCAUGCAACUCCGUCCCGGAUCGCGCGCGGCGCCGAGGCUGGACCACAGAGUCGCAGACGCACCGGCAAGCUAGACAUCGACUCAGCUGCUCUCGCCUCUUUAACGAUGACGGGGAAUGAAGACACGGCCAACACUGACAAAGGCCGUGUUCGCACCGCUGUCGGCGACACAGUGAUUGAGCUGGACGAGGACAUCGCGAGCGAGGUUCUGGAGCAGCGGUUCUUGACACUAGACUACGACGUCGAUUUCACUCGCGCCAUCUUUCCUAUUCCACUCCACACAGGUGGUUCAGAGGGGGCGUCUGCGGAGGGAGCCGGCGGCGUCUUGCGUGCACGCACGGGUACGGCAAGCGCUUCUCCAGCCAACCUAGCUGAGGCGACUUUAGAGCCGUUUGUAGUGAGCUUCUCCCUUCCCACAGCUGCGUCAGAGGCGGACACACUUCGCCACGAUCUGCUCCGCGCGCGAUCCCGUCUUGCCCUGCUCGAGUCCGAAAACGCGAAGCUGAGGCGGGAGAACGAGGCGCUGGUGCAGCUGAGCCGGCACAAGAUGCACGAGGUGCAGCGGCUGUGCAAAGACUUCCAGCAGCAGGUGCAACUCGCUGCGGAUGCGGAGAAGCUGAGAGCUAGGAACAAAGAGUUGCGAGUGCAGCUGCAGGAAGCACUAGAAAGCCAGCGGACGGCCCGGCGCACUUUAGAUCGCGGGCGCAGCCAGCGUCGUUUUUCGCAACCCGCUAGCGCUGCCACCGGUGGCGGAGGCAGUGCUUACCGGUCUGCUAGUGACCAGCGCCGCAGCGAGAACCCGUAUCUGCGGUCGCUGUCUUGCGAAUCAGACGACGGCUACGCCGGAGUGUCGUCACGACCGCCGUACGGCAGGCAGCGAUCGGCGGGCAGCGCCGCAUCCCGUGCAUCAGCGACGCGACGUGGGCAGACGCUGACGUCUCCGGCGCCUCCGCCGGCCGCCUUGCGUGGCAUUCAUGGGCAGCGCGCGCCUUCCUCAUCGUCCACGAACCGGCGCCGCUCUACGCGGUUCGACACACCACCGCCACCAUCGGAUCCAGCUGCCUCCACCGCAGCAGCUUUUCCUCGGCGCCGAUCACGCAGCCGCAGAGGCGAUGGUAGCAGCAGCACGAGAGAAGGGGAUGGCGACUCACCGGCACCGCACGGUCGCACCGGUGGACGACCAGAGAGGGUACGAAAGCCCCAGCGCCGGGGCAGCAGUGGUAGUGGGUCGCACGGCUCGCGGGCGUCCUCCACACUCUCGCUGCCGCGACGAGGGCGCAGCUUGUGGGGUGAUAGUAGCGCCCACGCAAGUCCGUGCGGCUCUGUGGCCUCCUCGAGAUGCUCGAGCGCAAGCCAUGAGCGUCUUUACCGCACUGCGACGGCGAGCAGCCGGAUGCAUCAAACACCAAAGGUGCACCCCCUUGACAGCGCCACCGCACCUCGGCGAGCCGUGUUUCACUGAGAGGCACCGGCGACGAAAGAGAAAGAGCCGAAAGAAGUCGCACUGCUGGCCGCUGGCCAUCGGCGACGGCUUGUGUCGCCGUGCAAGGGACAGACACCUCCGCACUGCCGCUGUGGGCGUACCUCUCUCUCUAUCAGGGUGUGUAUGCGUGCCGUGUCUGCUGCUCUUUUUGUUUUGUGUCGCUUCGUGCCCCCCCCCCUGUUUUCCCUCUUGCCAGGCAUCUAGAUUCUCAGCGCACGGUGGAGGGGCGCUGCCGCCUACCCCGCCCUUGAGCUUUGUUUGUCCCAAGCCACAAAUACCGCACUGAAGACAGCCGACACAGGAAACAGCAAAAAUGAGGCUUGGCAGCGUCGUUGCAUCUCUUGCCCGCGAUAGAGAGAGCCGUGAGGCGGGGCGAUGGAACACUCUGAGCCCGCACGUCGGCUGAGCGCGAAUUGCCCCCUCCCACCUCCUUUCCUUCGAUCUCUGCGCGCCACCCCCGCCUCCCCUCUCCGCUCGCACACAUACGAGGCGUCCUGGACUGCUGCACGAUACCUGGAACGCCACUCUCCGCCUCUCUACACCUCGCCUACCUCGUUCAUUUCCACAAG